rnacentral:rRNA from 1 species
CGGACGGGUGAGUAAUGUCUGGGAAACUGCCUGAUGGAGGGGGAUAACUACUGGAAACGGUAGCUAAUACCGCAUAACGUCGCAAGACCAAAGGGGGGACCUUAGGGCCUCUUGCCAUCGGAUGUGCCCAGAUGGGAUUAGCUAGUAGGUGGGGUAAUGGCUCACCUAGGCGACGAUCCCUAGCUGGUCUGAGAGGAUGACCAGCCACACUGGAACUGAGACACGGUCCAG